UUUGGCUUCCGUUUGUGCAGAAACGCAUAGUGGCCAUGGGUUGGGAAUCCUUCACAUCUUAACUCUGCACCAGAUUCAGGAGGGAUAAUCACUAGAUGCUGAUUCACCAAUUUUAUGCCAUUAAACAACACACUAUUAUUGCCGAUUUCAUCGAGCGUUUUGAAACUAUAAUGAACCACCUGAUAUCUUAUUCAGAAUGUACUCACCCAUACUUUUUCCUCACUCACUUUGUGGAGGGUCUCUGAUCGGAUAUUCGGGCGGUGAUCUUGGUCAACACUACAUGCUCGUUGGCCCUACUUUAGGCGGAGGUGGCCAAUGACGAACCAACGCAUGCUACGAUCCUAUUAAAAUUCAGACAAUUGAGUUGUAUGUACAGAGAAGUGGUCAAGAACCACAAGGGAAGAAAUGAAAAAGAAGCAGAAAAAGGAGGCCUAAGAGCUAAUGGAGAUAUUUCAACGGGAGGGGGGGGGGGGGGGGGGGUCCCCAAUGGGCUGCAGGAUGCCUUUCCGACGGUCCUCCAUGCCUUCAUGGUCAUCCUGAUGGAGUUGACUAUCAGGUGUACCGUAAGGUAUUUGUUCUUGAAGAUCAUGUCGUUUCUCUCAGUCCACAACUCCCAAACGAUGAGCUGGAGCAUGGAUUAGAUGCCCUUUCUUUCUGGAGCUGGUCCUUGGCUACCAAUCUUGCUCUAGAUCGCCAUGCUAUUGUCUUCGCCUUCCCAACUGGUAGGAGCCAGCGACUGACAACGUCUCCAGGUUGAGACAGAGCACCAAAUCUCCUUGGCGACGAUGCACCCCCAGAAUAGGUGGAAAGACCUUUCCAAAUUACGGAUGCAUAGAGGGUAGAAGUAGCAAUUAUCCCAGCCGACACGCUGAAGCCGAUCAGCACACCGUAUUCUGUCGUGGAGCAUUAGCUAGACGAAGGAUUUGCAUCGUGGUGGCGCCCACGCCUUCCAAAUCAUAGCCGGGAAAGGGUGAGGGGCGAUGCUCUAAUCAAGUUCCAAAGCGCAAGGAAUUCUUCAACGAAUGGUUGCGACAGGUUGCGGUGACAUCCAUGAAGUCAACCCCCCCUCCUUCCUCGCGUCGCCCCGUAGGGGCGACUCGGGGGCAAUCUAGAUCCCGUUCGCCGCCACCCCCUUCCUCCGCUUCUCCCCUUGCCGCCGCCGGAGGCAGCCGUCGGCAACCACGGGCGGACGCCGAUGAGGGUGGCGGCAAGGUCUUCGGUCGCGUUUCCUCCCUGGGAACGGACCUAGGGUUCCAGGCGGCGGCCUUGGUGGCGUGGGCGGCGCCGUCCCAGCGGCGGGCAUCCGGUGCCGGAGUUGGGGCCGCCUCCCCUCGGCUGCGUUGGUGGCGAGGCGGCAGUGGUCUGGGGCGUCGGGUGUUGGGUCCCCCGCGUCCCUCUUCGCCAGAUCUGAAGACGGUGUCCCGUCGCUUGCUACAGCCUCCUCUAUGUCAGGUUCGACCCGAUCUGGUUGUUGGCUGCGUGGAUGUGGAGUGGGUGCUCUGGAUCAGGGUAACCCCUUGGCCUCCGGCGGCGGCGACGGCCACCUCCUCGGCGGCGCUUCGAGCGCUGCUCUCCUUCCUGAAGGCGGCGUUGAGGUUCACCUCUCCCUCCUCCCCCUUCCCCUGCAUCCGGGUGAGCCCACAACUUUGGUUUGGGCGGUGGUGGCGGCAUGGCGGCGUCGUUACCUUCUUGAAGGCACCAUUUUGGGUCUGUGGGGAGGCGGGCAGGCUGUUGCGAGCUUCGGGAGCUCCCGGUGGCGGCGGCUUCUCCUUCCGGUGGUGACCCUUCGCCAUGGAUGACCGGUUCCCUCCUAUGGCCAUCGUGCUCUCCCCCAUGUGGUUCUGUCUGCCCGGCGGAUCGACGCCCACGGCCUGGACAAGAGGGGAUAGUGGUCCCCUCUUCGGCAACAUGGACGCGACGGUGGCUGAGUUGGUGGCCGUGGCGAGCUCUGGUUCCUCUGGUCGUGAUGGCUGUGUUGCUCAAAUCAGUGUCGUGUCUUCUUGGGACACCUCUGGUCCUUGCCUUGCAUCAACGACAUGCUUCAAUUGUGGGCUGCUGCUUGUGUUCGAUGUGCUUGCUGGAGUGGUCGCGCCCUUUGCCUUCCGACGGCCUGACAUCUAUGGAGAGCUUGCUCUCGGGGAGCAGUUUCUCCUUGUCGACGACAUAGCAUCACUCAAGCCUGUGCAUGAAGAGUUGGCCCCCGUCUGUUGGUGAUGGCUUUCAAUCUUGUUGGCUUUGGGUGCAGGGCGAUCUCUUCUGGUGGCGCGAUUCCCUCAAGAACUUAAAUCUUCAAGUUGUAGCCUUUUAUUUUAUCGUUGCACUUGUGCUUUCCUUUAGCUCCUUGUAUCGGCCUCUGCAGGGUUGCAUUCCUGCUUUAUUUUCUUUCCUUGUUGCUUGGUCUGUUUCCGUUGUAAUGCUAGCCGGUUGAUGGCUUUGUUAAUUCAAAGCCGGGCUAUGCUUGAGCCCUUCUUAGGCUCGGGUUGUGUCUUUUCUCUAAAAAAAGGUUGCGGUGACAAGUGUCCUUUACACA